rnacentral:tRNA from 1 species
GGUCCCAUCGUCUAGAGGCCCAGGACGGCAGGUUCUCAUCCUGUAAACACCGGUUCGAAUCCGGUUGGGAUCA